CUGGGAGGGAAGAACUUUUUUUGUUUGUUUUUGUGUGCUUUUUGAGACAUAGUUUUGCUCCUGUCACCUAGGCUGGAGUGCAAUGGCGUGAUCUCGGCUCACUGCAACUUCUGCCUCCCUAUUUCAAGCAAUUCUCCUGCCUCAGCCUCCUGAGUAGCUGAGAUUACAGGCAUAUGCCACCACUCCUGGCUAAUUUUGUAUUUUUAGUAGAGACAGCGUUUAUCCAUGUUGGUCAGGCUGGUCUUAAACUCCCAACAUCAGGCGAUCUGCCCACCUGGGCCUCCCAAAGUGCUGGGAUUACAGGCAUGAGCCACCACACCCGACUGGGAAGAAGUUUAGCAUAUGACUUUUGGGAAUACAAAAUUCAGUCCCUAACAACUGCUUGGUGUUCCCAGAACCAAGGGAAGCCCAGGGCAAAGGUGGACAAGGCUCUACUGCUGGCCCCCGGGAAGAAGCAGCAGCCUGCACUCUAGCAGGGAUGAGGAAGUGACAUCUGUCAACCAAAGCAAAACCAAGAGUGGCAUGAAGAGCAAAGGGGCGUCCCUAGGGAGAGGGUCUGGUUGCCUGGGAGCUGAGCCUCUUCCUGCAGAAAGAUGCCUCUGAGAGGCAGGGAGCGAGUCCAGCUGUUGGCUCUGCGGGGUUCAAGUUCAAGGCCUCUUCAAGACUCUUCUGACUCUUCUGAGGUCUCCCCUCUCUGCAAAGGGUCAUGUUCUUGACGUCAAGAGGGUGAGCAGUGAAGAGGCUGUGUCUGUGUGUCAAGAGUCAAAACAAAUAAUUGCAUAAGUCAGAGAGGGGAACCGCAGAGUCACGUUUCCCAGGCUUUCGUGCUCCUGUCCUGUUGCAGAUAUUAGGAGACCGGAGAGACUAAUGGGCAGAACAGGAGGAUUCUAUUUAGGUGCACCAGCUUAGCGGAUUUGCAUUUGAAAACUGAGCAAAGGACAAAGAAAAUGGGUACCUUUUAUACGCUUAGGAUACUGCAGCAGCAAACAGGUUUACAGAAGCCAGAACAAAGAACGGUUAAUUUGAAUAUGUUUUGUGCAAGGGUCUGGGGCUGGAGCUGGAGAUGCUGCAUUUCCAGCAGGCUCCCAGGUCAGCAGCCACAUGCAGAGCAGUGCUGCGGGACAGGAAGUCAGGAGCGCCGGAUCCAGGACCUGCCUCCACCGAGGAUGCCCGGACGAGUUGAGGCCACAGCCUUUCUAUCUCCAAAGUGGAGAAACGGAUGCCAUCAACACAAUAGUCCCUCUUGCUCUCACAUUCUAAGAGACCUAACUUGAACUUUGCCAAAAGUGUAGGGCGCUGUGUCCCAAAUGACUGCGGGACUGGAUGAAGAAAUGGGAAGGAAAGAGCAGGUAGAAAACUGUGCAGCCGCAGUGGGAGCAGUUCCCAGUGAAUACAGCGUGAGUGGCGCCCCCGUAUUUGUGCGAUGGCACGUCCCUGGGUUACCAGGCAAAUCUUCUGAGCUCUGUUCCUUUCUUUAGCUCUUGACUCACUGCAAAAGCUCCUUUCCAUGUAGAAUACAUUGACAACUCUUAGGAAAACUGCUGUGUACUUGAAGGAUUCAAUAUUCCUUUAACAUCCUGCUACUGACGGAUCCCUGACUCCCUGAGAAGUGUUUUCUCUGCCUCAUCAGGAAGCAUGAGGCGUAAAGGCCUGGUGCCUGAACAGGGAAGCGCGGGAGCCCCCAUGUAGUCUUUGCAUGUGUGCCAAGCUAUUUUAGUAACAUGACACCAGAGGCUUGGGUGUGGUGGUCUGAAUGCUGCAACAUUAGCUCCAAAGGGUCCUGGGAAGCCUGCAGAGCUCAGGGAGGCCAAGGGUGUGGGCUUGGCAUGUUGGCACCUGGAUGCUUGGGUUCAACCCUCAGCAGCAGGCCUGUGGUCUCCUGAGAUUCUGCUGCCAGCCUGGAGAUCAACUGCGCCUUGGAACAGACUCUGUGCACGUCCAAUUUUAGGAGAUGUGGUGGGGAGAGACCCUCUCAGAGAAGAAAACAGGAAAACAGGUCUUGCUUCCAGGGAGGAUGGUUUCCAAAGCGGGGGGGUCCAUCCAUCAGCCUGCGGGCAGGGACACAAGAGUUGGAAGGGACCAGAGAGUUCCUUUUACUGAUCCAGAAUGCACGUGCUGGGAUCACAGCACAUGUGGAGGGC
ensembl:lncRNA